rfam:Glycine soja cultivar W05 scaffold2932_1, whole genome shotgun sequence.
UAAAAGGCUGAUCUUCCCCAAAGCUCACAUCGACGGGAAGGUUUGGCACCUCGAUGUCAGCUCUUCGCCACCUGGGGAUGUAGUAUGUUCCAAGGGUUGGAUUGUUUAAUCAUUAAAGCAGUACGUGAGUUGGAUUCAGAACAUCGUGAGACAGUUC